UACGGGGGGGGCAAGCGUUGUUCGGAAUUACUGGGCGUAAAGAGCUCGUAGGCGGUUUGUCGCGUCUGCUGUGAAAACCCGAGGCUCAACCUCGGGCCUGCAGUGGGUACGGGCAGACUAGAGUGCGGUAGGGGAGAUUGGAAUUCCUGGUGUAGCGGUGGAAUGCGCAGAUAUCAGGAGGAACACCAAUGGCGAAGGCAGCUCGCUGGGACGGUACUGACGCUGAGGCGCGAAAGCGUGGGGAGCAAACAGG
rnacentral:rRNA from 1 species